rnacentral:SRP_RNA from 1 species
GGAAGCAAGCAGCCGCCAACAAAGCCCCCUCGGGUGUCGCUGCU